rnacentral:rRNA from 1 species
GAUGAACGCUGGCGGCGUGCCUAACACAUGCAAGUCGAGCGAACAGACGAAGCGCUUUCUUCGCUUACGUUAGCGGCGGCCGGGUGAGUAACACGUGGAUAACCUAUCUAUAAGACUGGCAUAACUUCGGGAGACCGGAGCUAAUACCCGACAAUAUAUUGAACCGCGUGGAUCAAUAGAGCUAGACGGUUUUGCUGUCCCUUAUAGAUAGAUACGGGCCGCAUUAGCUAGUUGGUAUGGUAACGGCUUACCAAGGCAACGAUGCGUAGCGGACCUGAGAGGAUGAUCAGCCACACUGGAACUGAGACACGGUCCAGACUCCUACGGGAGGCAGCAGUAGGGAAUCUUGCGCAAUGGGCGAAAGCCUGACGGAGCAAUGCCGCGUGAGUGAUGAAGGUCUUCGGAUCGUAAAGCUCUGUAAGUAGGGAGGAAGAAAAGUGAAAUAAACUAUGCACGUUUUGACGGUACCUAAAGAAAAAGCCCCGGCUAACUACGUG